GGGCAGGAAGGGUCCGAGGCAGAGAUUUUGUGGUUUGAGCUUCACCUGUUCCCAAAAAAACCCUGGAUUUUGCCGGAAUAAACGUCAGCAAUUCCCCAAAAGUCCCAGGUUUGGGGGAAUGAACAUCAGGCAUUCCCAAAAAAAAAAUUGAGAUUUUGGGGAAUGCACUUUGGCUAUCCCAAAAAAAUCAGAUUUUUGUGAUGAACGUCCACACUCCCAUAAAAAUCUCAUUUAAGACUGGAAUAAACCCAAUUUUCCCCCCGCAAAAACCCAACCACCCAACAGAGGGAUUUUCCCGGGAUUCCCUUGUAGCAUUCCUGGGUUUUUUUGGGCAUUGCAGCGUGGACAACAGCGAGUACAUGCGGAACGGGGACUUCCUGCCGACGCGGCUGCAGGCGCAGCAGGACGCCGUCAACAUCGUGUGCCACUCCAAGACACGCAGCAACCCCGAGAACAACGUGGGGCUCAUCACCCUGGCCAAGUGAGGGGGACGGGCUGGGAACGGCUGGGAAUGAGUGCUAGGAAUGGCAGGGAUUGUGGGCUAUUGCAGGUGGGAGCUUCAGGAAUUCUUGGAAUGGCUCAUUCCACUUGGAAUGGGAGGAAUCUGGGGAUUUUCGGGGUGGGAGUUUCAGGAAUUUUUGGAAUGGCUCAUUCCCACUUGGAAUGGGAGGGAUCUGAGAGGGAUUUUGGGGUCAUUUCAGAUGGGAACUUCAGGAAUUCUUGGAAUGGAAUGGAUUUGGGGCUCACUGGAAGCUGGGGAAAUCUGGGAUUUUGGAGAAUUCCCUCCCAGAUUCCCAAAGAAUCCCCAGGAGUUGCUCCUGUAGCUGUGGAGUGCUGCCAGCCCUGGAGCCGAGCCCGGCCUGAAUCCAGGGGGAUUUACUGAAUCCAGGGG
rnacentral:lncRNA from 1 species